UGGUGUUGGAGGAUUUUUUUAAUAAUUAAAAAAAAAAAAAAAAAAAAAAAACCUGAACCGGUUCCAAAAUGGCUUCUAAAAAAAGGGAGAAGCCAAAGCGGAGCCAGCGGGGAAACCCGGAUGUUUGAUACAAAGAGGCUGGAGCAGGGUGGAGCGGCGCGGGGGCUCCGCGGCCGCUGAGUGGGGAGCGGCGCUGCCCGUCACGGCCGCGCCCCGCAGAGCACCGCCCCCCGCGGGGAGGCCCGGGGGGUUGGGGGGGCAGGGAGGGGGGAAAUGAGGAGGAUGGGGUUGGGGGGUGAAGCUCCCUUUGCGUGCCCGCCGCAUUCCCGGAGGAGAGAGCAGGACCCCUCGGGGGUGGGAAUAAACCCUGUCCUUAUAGAAUAAAUAAUCCUUCUCUUCCAGGUUGGUGAGAAUGUGUUUUCCCUGCCCUGGAGCCCCCCGCACCCAAAAAAGUCCCUCGACCCCCAGAUCUUGCAGGAGCGAUGGCACGGGGACAGUGUCCAGGAGUGCCAGGGCAGAAGGGCCACCUCAGCAGAAUCAGUUCCCAGGCUGCUUCAGGGUUAAUAAGGUUUUCUCUAUUGCCAGGAUUACAGGAAUUGAACUCUCUCCACAAUCUGUUUUAAUAAUACCAUAACUAAAUAAUAUGGUAUUAGGGAGCACCACAAGGGGAAGGAAGAGGAAAGGAAGAUGCUGAAGUUGAGUCCAUCCCAAGACUUUGGAUCUGCAAGGUCCGCUGGGGAAGGGGCUGUAGCACAGAUGUGCAGCUCCCGCACACAGUGGUGAAUCGCAGGUCACCUCCCUCCAGUUUAUCUUAUGGGGAGUAAGGUUGAAAAUGUUUCUAAAAUCAUUUACCUCUGGAGGGAGGAGAAGAGUAAAAAUGAAUAAUUCCUUUAAAAGUUUGAGAAGCAUUUCAUUCCAAGAAGAAAUAUGGGGUUUUUACAGUAAAGUUUGCAGGAAACUUCAGGAAUCUUUUGUAAGGGCUUGCAGCGCCUUGGAAGCUGGAGUCUUUCUUUAUAUACAUACAGCACUUGCGUAACAAUGUCUUAACUGUGAAUGAGAUUCCUAGAUGCAGUUGCAAUAAACUGAUUAAUAGUAUCAUUCAUGGUAUCAUACCUCAUUCAUAUGUUCACUGUAAGUAAAGAGGAAUACAUUGGCAGGAGUAUAGCAGUUGUGACUUCAAACACGAUACUCGGGGGGAAAAGUUACAGUUAAAGCAUGCACAACUGGGCAGUGCAAUUGGUAAAGCUGCAAAAAAUGUUCAAGAAAAUAAUUUUUGGAGUAAAAAGCAGCAAAACCAAAAAAGCUCACAGAGAGCUAGUGCUGGGCAGGUCUGUGGCACAGAAAAAGCAAGGUGGGUAAUGUAACCCAGUUAGUCAAACCAAGGAUGGAAAAUAUGAAGGAGAUGUAUCUGUCAGAGGGAUGGGUCAGGGAUGACCCAUAUUUAUUCAGAAACAAGCACUCACAAAUAGGGUUGUUUGGUUUUUUUAAUCUGGAGACAGCAAGGACUGAUUUUUGUCACCAGACACUCAUGGGACAAGUCACUGAGAAGAGCACACAGGAAGCAAAAGGGAAUGGAAAACGGUUAAAUAAGGAGGAAUGUCUGCCAUGGGCUGCAGCCGCUUAGGAUACAUUGGGAUCCACAAGAGAAGGGACAAAUAAUGGGCAGAGACCUGGGAGCACGUUUGUCACACAGCUGUCAUUGCUUUUGAGGAAACGGGUCCAGAGUGCUUGGGAUGUUGUCCUAAAGCCACCCAAUAAGAUGUGGCCUUUUGCACUCAGACAGCGUGCUGCUUCAUGGCGAUGCUGUGAAGAACAGACUGACAAAGCGCUGGACCCAGGGCAGUUUUUACGCGGGGAUAAAUGGUUACAGAGCUCUGGUGCAACCAAAGGGACCCGUUUCCAGUCUUCUUAAUCAAAAUUGCAAUAACUGCAACAGGUGAGACAUGCGUGCUGUGGCCCCGAGACAGCAAACCAGUUCACAGGCUGCGGUUUCCAUAUCGGUUCCUAAAGCUGCUUGUAGGAAAUCACCCAGCCCAAAGAACCUCCUGGGAUCCCAGCCUCUACCUUCCUAUUUCAAAAUGCAUGGGUAAGAAAAAACAAGCUAUAUUCAUAACCUUGAGUAAAUAAAUUGUCACUUUAACUACACAUUUUAUUGUAAUUAAGUGCUUCCCAGUAAUAAGCAACCCACACUAUGAAGGUGUUUCCUAAUAUAACGGUAAGCUAAGUAAGUUCCCAGUUGUGAGCAGAAUUAGGAAGCUUUUAAAAGCACAGACCAAUUAAUAUGGGAGGGCCAUGUUGCACAGUUCUCAACAUGUGGAGGAAGGGUGGUUUUGCUAGAGAACUUUAUCCUUAUUUUCCAGAAAUGCCAUUGCUGUGUGGUCAGCAUCUCACCUGCAGAAUUUCCCAGUAGGGUUUAUACGCAGCAUUAGCCCGACUCUGCUGCUGGUGGCUUUGCGUGACUCUAAAGGGAACAGACCUAAGGCAGAUUUAAACCUUCCCCAGCUUUCUACGGACUUGCUGCUGUCACCUCUCCAUAAUGCAGCUACAAUUAACUUUGCUGGAAUUUCUAUAUUUGAAGCAGCUUUAAAUUCGAGCCUGAACUUACAGACGUGGAUGCAGAUGGUCUUUGCUACUGUCUGUAUAAGCCCUUGGUUUUAGCACUAAAAAAGCCCACCCACGUUGACAAAUUUGCCCUUUGCGGUCUGGCUUCAGUGCAGCCAGUAAAAAUAGCGAGUGAUACGACAGACAGAAUGGGCCCUAAACUAUAUUUUUUGAUCACUUUUCUUAGCUCCAGACUAAAGAGCAAGGCAUCCCAUGUUGACAGAUUGGGGGGGAAUAUACCAAGCAAAGGGAUCUGCUACCAAGAUGCCCAUAAACCAGCAGUUCUGCCAUCCUCCAGAAUGUGAACUUUUCCCUCGGUUUUUAGUUGUAUUUUGAUUAAAGUGUAAAUACCAGCAACUGGCACAUGUCAGACGGUGUCAGAGCCGCAUACCAGAGCUUUCUUCAUGUUCAAUCUUUAGUGCCACUUUACUUAUCCGUGGAUUUUGUUAGGACUUCUGGGGCAUAGCUCAUUAUUUUUACCACUGUAACCAGCAGAGUGGUCAUAUAAUUAUUUCCCCUUAAAUCCAGGAGAACUUGUCUGGCUUAUUGGGCAGGGAGCUUAAUUGUGAGAAGGCUCUGGAGGACAGUUGGCACUGCAUGAUAGCUAUACCGUUAGCAUGUUACCCGCCCCUGAAAAGGAGAAUCCAAGCUCUCAUCCAUACCCCCAAAUCCUGCCGGCUCACCGGGUACCGAAGCACUCCCACACUUGAGUUGGAGACUUCUCUGCUCAGACAAGGAGGAUUACGGACAUCAUAUGACUAAUUCUGCAAUGACGGUAUAUGCUUAAUUGGUAAAGGACUGCAUUUUGUAUCUUUUUUUAACCUGGGACAUAGCGUCAAAGGUCUGCCUGAUGUUUGAGGUUCAUUUCAGGUAUUUUCUUCAUUGAGAUUCGCUGUACCUAAGGUUACUGUGACCUCCAGCUUUGUCUUGUGCCCUUCAGCACUACUAUGCUUCUUAUUGAUGAGAAACCAGUAUUCAAAUUCCCCUGAAACAUCAGGCUGUGCUGCUCUCGCAGCUCACAGAGAGGCUUCCCUGAACCUCAGGUAUAAAAGCUCUGGCUGUUGCAAAAGCCAGUGGCCAGAAGUCACAAAAAGCAUGAUAUUUACGUAAGUGGACUGUGAUACCAAACUUUAGGCAUUCAUUUUAAUGUCCUGCUUUCAAGAUCUCUGCCUCAGUUUCUCUGUAAAAUGCAAAUACAGCAUUGGUGAUGCUUAGCUCAUUAAAAAAAUAAAUACCUCGCUAACUUCUAAGAGUGUGUGUUGCAGCAAGUUAAAGUCAAUGCAUCUUAAAUUCAGUGGAAGAUGUUUCUACCAGCUGAUGGUACUUAACCAUUCAAACAGAUUACCAAAAGCCACAGCAGCAAAAUCCCUUCUGCUUGAAAUGUUUAGGACUGCCUGGAUGUCUGUCAGGAAAAUGUGCUCCCAAAUCGGUGGUAGCAACACUGGAAUCACUUCUUGGUGACAAUCCUGGUGACUGUAGCAGCCUCCAGUAAUGGCAAUCUAUUAAUCUCUUGCUCUGUGCUCGUAAAGCACUCUGUCCUCCCAUUAAAAGCUGAAGGUAAAUAAAUACAGGUCUCAUCAUCAGAUGAUUUUGCUUGCAUAGAGGUUACCUACAGAGCCUCUACAUGAGAUGGACAAGCAGAAGGGCGAAAGAAAAUCUUCCCGUGCUUGGUGUAAGGCUAGCCAGGGCACAAUGCUGUGAGCUUGGUGCUCAGGAGCUGCUGAGUCGCACUGGUCUUUCCACUUUUCUGUGCCCAACAGCCAACGUUGCUGAUACCAGCUGGGGGUAGCAGGAGAAGAGCAGGGUGUUAAAUCUCCUCUGUGCUGGCAUGUGUUUGGACCAGGCUAGAGCAGCAUUAAGUGCUGCACUCUUUUGGGUGGCUACCAGCAUAUCCCAUGGAGUUUUGCCACACCUAAAAAAGAGCCUGGGAAUAUAACAGCCCUUGAAUCUGCAGAGUGAGAACAACAUGUUCAGUUACUGCCCUAAGACUGUUCCCUAACCCCGCCCAUUUAAGUUACUGUCCUCUGUAAAACAAUGCAGUAGGUAUUUACCCACAUUGUCUUCACCUGUUGAUGUUUUACCUGAAAAUGCAGUGCAGGUGUUUUAAAAUGCGUAUGGUGGCUACAGCAGCCUAGAGCGGAGGCCUGUCAUCUCUCCAGCUCAUUCACCUUUCUCCCUCCCCAGGUGUUCCAUUGGCAGAAGAACAUCUUUCGAAUUCCAAUAUCUUAUUUAAAAACCUAGACUUGGGGGUUUUGAACUGGUUGCAAUUAAGCUUUAACAAUGGGAAGGUUCAAAUGGAUGUGCUGUGCCCCUCUUUGAAAUGGCUUUGCCUAAGAAAACCAUCUGUAUCUCCCCUGCAGCCAGCCGGUCUAUGCUGCAGGCUUUACUUCCAGUACUCUUACCUGUGGCGUUGUGCCUCCUGACACGCUCAAGACAUGUAUGGGAGGACUAAUAAAAUAUGUCCUGGAGUGUUUGGUGUAUAUUUAGAGUUUAACCCAGAUUAUUGGCCUUUGUCCCAGAUUUCAGUGGUUAGGGCAUAAGAAUGCACGGUGAGGCCAAGUGCUUCCUGCAUUGCUUUCAGGAAGGCUUUAAUCACAAAAAGUACCCUCUCAGAGAAGGCAAAUAAUUAAGCUUUUGUGGCACAUACUCUGCUGCCAUUAGCAGGAGGCGGUAAACACUCAAGACCACAGUAUAAAUAGAGCUAGGCAGAUGCACUAAGCUUUAAAGUGCAACAUUACUGUGUUACAUGGUAUUGAGUAAUGAACUGGACAUGACUAGCAAGGUAGUUUUCCUUUCGUCUUUAUCGGGACUGGAGUUUGUUUUUUACAUCAUAAAGUGUCUUGUCUUUGCUGCUCAUCAAGGGAAAUGCUGGUGUAAACCGCCUGGAUGAAACUCAUCCCACACUGUGGCAGCUGGCAGUGCGCAAGUGGGGAUAUUCAUCUGCCAUCUAGUCUAUCCUACUCAUUUCGGCAGUGUUUAUUCAACCUGGCUCUUCCUGUAGUACUGGGCGCUACACACAGGGCAUCACGAGAUUUGCCUGAAGAGUAUUUUCCCUCCUGCGUAACUUCAAGCCUUCCCUCAAGCCAAAACCUGCUGUGGUUUGGUCCUUGCUGAGCAUAUUGGGAAGGGAUUGCUCCUUUUCUCUCUGCUCCAGCUUUUGCCCCUUAGAAGAUUGUCUCUCUUCAGCCUGCCAUACCCAAAACAAGCCAAUUCAUUUGUCCCUUCCUCAUAUUUCUGUCUGCACAGCAUGACCCUCACUCCAUCCCUUGGGUUGCUUAGCCGUAUCUCAGGCUAAAUUCCCUUGCUGAAGUCCUAGAUUCCCCAUGCCACCAUCUCUGGCAUGUGCUCUUCAGUUCUGGGGGACAGAAGAGCCCAGAACUAUGUUCAGCCCUCCAGUUACACUGCAGGUCUUUGGGAUCAUGAAGGGCUCCCUGACAGACUCAUCCAAGCAAUUUUUGGCUUUCACAGGCUUCCACCUUGGUAUUACCUCUUUACCUUCCUAUCGACCUCUUCUUGCCCAGCUGCCCUAAUGCCCUUUCUCAGACUGGUUCCUUAGCUUCACAGCAUAGGACAUACCACAUGUCAUAAAAAGUAUAAAAUAUAAAAACUGUUCUGUUAAGAAUCCAGCCACUGCUUCAUCAAUUUUGUAGGGAGACAGGAGUGACGCAUUGCCGAUACAGAUGCAGGUAAAAUCCUGCUGCACUCAGUCACACCUGUGCUUUCCUUCCCAGCGCUCCCCAGCGUUCAACUCUUGGACAUUUUGGCAUAUUAUCAGUGAUAAAUGUGUUCACAAGCGAGAGCAGCCAGCCCUGCAGGCUGUGAUGCCAGGGUAUUGUGGGUUCCUGGCAUGGGCAGAAUGAGACAGAGAUAUUUUUGUAGUCAGCCUCAAGUUUUUAUCUAUUUAUAGUUAUCUUGGUGACCCCUAAAUUGGGAUUAGGUCGUUUGGCAGGAAGACUGCACUUCGUGUCUUGACUUUCCUGGCCCCUUAUCCAUCCAACACUCUUUUGCUCUCAAAGCCACUGAUCUUGUCCUUUAUUUUUGCCACCAAAUGCCACUCAUUUGUGUUGAGAAGCAGGAACAGGCAGCAGGGAAAUUAUCAGUAAUCCAGCAAGCAAUCAACCUCAUUUUUAAUCCCAUUUUUUGUGGCCUGUUGAUGCUGUGGGAUGAUACAUGGACCAUUAAUUAUUCAUCUACAAUAGUUUAAAUGAUUGCAAGUGGCUACAAACACCAGAUUUGAAAGGAAUUCAAUAAUAAUGGAGGGAGAAAAAAGAUUUUUUUUUUAAAAACAAGGAUGGCAUGGGACAGGGAUGAAAAGGUGCAGGACAUAUGGGAGAGGUAUUGAUUGGGGGUAUUCUGGUGGCCUAGGUUCCAGCUCAAUCUUCUGCAGGAUCUCUGAUAGGCUUUGCUUUACUUAAGAGGUAAGUCCUGAUCAGAAUGGGAACGACAGGCUUUAUCCACAGAAGUAAUUAAAAUGUUUCACUCCCUGGCAGGGGAGUUAAAAUCAAUUUCUCAAAUACAAGAUGAGGAGCAACUGGCCAGGCUGCUGCCAUGCGGAAAAAAGAUCCAGGGCUGUGAUGCUUGGGAGUACAGCAGAAAUCCAGUCCUGCAAAAAUCCAGCAGUCCUCCUGGGAUGCCUGUUCAGAGGGGCAUGCUGCAGAAGGCAUGAGACAAUCUUUCCAUUAAACUUGGCAGUGGUGGCAUCUUGGCUUAAGAACAAUUUCCACACUUCAGGAAAGAUAUGGGUCAGCAGGGAAAAGCCCCAAGAGGUGCAAAAAGAAUGACUGGAGUUGUAGAAAACCUGCCUUUGAAGAAAGGGCGAGAAAGAGAGAAGUGUGUGGUCUGAAGAGGGGACCAAGCUGAGACAAAGCAAGUUGCCAAAUACAUGCAAGGCUGAAGCAAAGAGGAGCAGCAUGGUGUAUCCUUGUACCUUCUGCAAGUAGGGCAAGUAAUGGCCUUUAGCUGCAGCAGAAAAGAUGUAGAUAAAAGAUAGGAAAAACUUUACAGUGCUAUGGAUAGUUCAGCACAGGGGUUUUCCCACAGGCUGUGGAAUUGUCAUUGCAGGCAGGUGUUAGAGAUCUUGCAGGGAUGGUUGAGGUAUUGUUGAUUGUACUGGGAGCCUAUUAGAAGGCUUUAUCAAACUACUUCCUCCAGUUGCCACUGAAAUCAUUGCAAUUCAGCACUUUAGCGUUUGGGAAGACCUGCCACAAUAGCAAUCCCCUGUUUGCAAUCAAGCGGAUUGCCAGAGCAAUCCCAUGCAUAUUUAGCUGAUGUGCGGCUCCUAGGAUUGUAGGGGUGCAGAAACAGGCUAAGAAAUAAAUGUGCUGUAACUGUAGAAGUUGGUUACUCUAGAGCAUUAAAAGUCCAGCCUUUCUUUGACAAAAAAAUGCUGCACAUGAGCUUUUCCAUGUGAAAUAUUGCAGGGAAAUCUCAGUUAUGUUUAGAGAUGCCAAAGGAAAUCUCGUUAGAACCCACCAACAAUGAUCUGUUAUAAAGGGAACAGGAGCAAUUUGUGAGUUCUCGAAAACCAAGGUCCAUCUCUGUUCUGCCCCUGUCCUCACUGCUGCUGUACUGUAGGACAUAGAUUUCUUCAGAGAAGGAUCUGUGCCUUCUUGCUCAGUUAGCUCUUAUACAUCAUAUUUUAUUUAUUUGCUGGGAGACUUGAAUGAUGAGCAGCAAACACUCUUGUUCCUACUUUAAACACGUAGAAACAGCAGUACAGUGAAAUAAAAUGACUUGUGCAGGGUCACAGAGCAAUUUUGUGGCAGGGCUAGGACCAGAACCCAGCUUCCUUGCUCCCAAACCCAUGUGCCAGUCUUCAGCUCUUCAUUGACCCUUAAUUUUAAUCACCUUCCAUGGAAGUCUAAUUGGCCUCUUCCAGUUGACUUCCAUGGGAGUAAUGCCAGGUAUCAAAUGAAGUCACUGGGAAUACCAAUGCAAAAGAAGCCAGUAUUAGGUGCAAAGAAAGAACUGAUGGAAGGGAAAAAGUAGAUUUUAGAAAAAAAGGAAUAAGUUCUAGUGCUGCUUCCAUAAUAUCAUUCAGCCUUUAAUUUGUGCCUGCUCAAAAUUAAAAAAAAAAUAGAUUGCUAAUAUUAAUAGAUGAAAUGAAUCUUGAAUUUUAUAAUAGUGGAGGAAAUGAAAGGACCAAAGUAAUAUUGUGUUGUUAACUGAGAUUUUAAUAAUGAUUCUGUCCUCACUUGGUGCAUUUGUUCCACAGAAAGUAAAUCAUUAAUGAAGAGGAGGGGAAAACAGUUUGAUGAUGAUAGAUUUUUGAAAGAAAAGUUUAAUUUUGCUUAACUUCUAGAAACUCUAAAAUAUGCCUGGAGCUCUAAAACUAAAAGACAAACACCUCAAAACCAGUCCACAAAGAUGGGAUUUAGUCACGUGGCUAAGACUGCGUGGGGUAGGAUGGAGCCAUGUCUACGGCUUCUCUCCGAGAGAGCUGAGGUGAGUGGAAGAGGAUGGUCAUAGAUCUUGGUUUUGAUGGAGGAAGGAAGGUUUGAAGGUUUGCUGUUGGUUGGUUGCAUUCUCAUAGCUAUUUCUGAAUGGCAUCUGGAGAGCAGUAAGGACAUCAUUCUCAUCCUGAAACAAAGGAUAUCUAACUGGACUCACCCUAUGAUUUCUGUGGGCUUCUGCAAGAUCUGCUUCUACAAUAUUCUCUACAGGGGAUGGGUGGAUCCAAACCACUCUGUACUGUGUGUUUGACUUCCCAGGUGAAGAAAGAGCCCGCCAAAGCUAGCGUGCUCAGUAGUAGCUCUUGAACUACCCACCACUAUCUUCAGCCACCUCCAAGGAGUGCCAGAAAAAGAGCUGCCUGGAGCAGCAGCCCAUAUCACACCAAACCCCUGGGUUCAAAGUGUCAAGCAUAGAGAGGAUCAUGGUCUCACAGCAGUGGAGAAGAAAAGCAUUUGGUGCCUAAGAAAAGGAAAUAUGGAACAUACAUGCCUGCAUGUGCAUGAAAGAGAUGGGGGAAAAGACAGAAUUCCCCUGAUUCCUUAAUGAGCACAGCACCCCAACAAUGAAUGUAGAAAUAUGCAAAUUAAAUGACAUUUUGUAUUUAAAUUAUCAAAUCAAUAAGGAGAUGUAAACAUUAAACAACAUUAUAUGAGAGCCUGGAGUGUCACCACAAAAAUUAAGACUAUGUAAUUAAAAGUACAAUGCAAUUUA